rnacentral:rRNA from 1 species
UACGUAGGGGGCUAGCGUUGCUCGGAAUCACUGGGCGUAAAGCGCACGUAGGCGGCUUUUAAGUCAGGGGUGAAAUCCUGGAGCUCAACUCCAGAACUGCCUUUGAUACUGAGAAGCUUGAGUCCGGGAGAGGUGAGUGGAACUGCGAGUGUAGAGGUGAAAUUCGUAGAUAUUCGCAAGAACACCAGUGGCGAAGGCGGCUCACUGGCCCGGUACUGACGCUGAGGUGCGAAAGCGUGGGGAGCAAACAGGG